rnacentral:rRNA from 1 species
GUUUGGUUAAGUUAGAAAGGGCGCACGGUGGAUGCCUUGACACUAGGAGUCGAUGAAGGACGGGACUAACGCCGAUAUGCUUCGGGGAGCUGUAAGUAAGCUUUGAUCCGAAGAUUUCCGAAUGGGGAAACCCACCAUACGUAAUGGUAUGGUAUCCUUACCUGAAUACAUAGGGUAAGGAAGACAGACCCAGGGAACUGAAACAUCUAAGUACCUGGAGGAAGAGAAAGCAAAUGCGAUUUCCUGAGUAGCGGCGAGCGAAACGGAACAUAGCCCAAACCAAGAGGCUUGCCUCUUGGGGUUGUAGGACAUUCUAUACGGAGUUACAAAGGAACGAGGUAGACGAAGCGACCUGGAAAGGUCCGUCGUAGAGGGUAACAACCCCGUAGUCGAAACUUCGUUCUCUCUUGAAUGUAUCCUGAGUACGGCGGAACACGUGAAAUUCCGUCGGAAUCUGGGAGGACCAUCUCCCAAGGCUAAAUACUCCCUAGUGAUCGAUAGUGAACCAGUACCGUGAGGGAAAGGUGAAAAGCACCCCGGAAGGGGAGUGAAAGAGAUCCUGAAACCGUGUGCCUACAAAUAGUCAGAGCCCGUUAAUGGGUGAUGGCGUGCCUUUUGUAGAAUGAACCGGCGAGUUACGAUCCCGUGCGAGGUUAAGCUGAAGAGGCGGAGCCGCAGCGAAAGCGAGUCUGAAUAGGGCGUUUAGUACGUGGUCGUAGACCCGAAACCAGGUGAUCUACCCAUGUCCAGGGUGAAGUUCAGGUAACACUGAAUGGAGGCCCGAACCCACGCACGUUGAAAAGUGCGGGGAUGAGGUGUGGGUAGCGGAGAAAUUCCAAUCGAACCUGGAGAUAGCUGGUUCUCCCCGAAAUAGCUUUAGGGCUAGCCUUAAGUGUAAGAGUCUUGGAGGUAGAGCACUGAUUGAACUAGGGGUCCUCAUCGGAUUACCGAAUUCAGUCAAACUCCGAAUGCCAAUGACUUAUCCUUAGGAGUCAGACUGCGAGUGAUAAGAUCCGUAGUCAAGAGGGAAACAGCCCAGAUCGCCAGCUAAGGUCCCAAAGUGUGUAUUAAGUGGAAAAGGAUGUGGAGUUGCUUAGACAACUAGGAUGUUGGCUUAGAAGCAGCCACCAUUUAAAGAGUGCGUAAUAGCUCACUAGUCGAGUGACUCUGCGCCGAAAAUGUACCGGGGCUAAAUACACCACCGAAGCUGCGAAUUGAUACCAAUGGUAUCAGUGGUAGGGGAGCGUUCUAAGUGCAGUGAAGUCAGACCGGAAGGACUGGUGGAGCGCUUAGAAGUGAGAAUGCCGGUAUGAGUAGCGAAAGACGGGUGAGAAUCCCGUCCACCGAAUGCCUAAGGUUUCCUGAGGAAGGCUCGUCCGCUCAGGGUUAGUCAGGACCUAAGCCGAGGCCGACAGGCGUAGGCGAUGGACAACAGGUUGAUAUUCCUGUACCACCUCUUUAUCGUUUGAGCAAUGGAGGGACGCAGAAGGAUAGAAGAAGCGUGCGAUUGGUUGUGCACGUCCAAGCAGUUAGGCUGAUAAGUAGGCAAAUCCGCUUAUCGCGUAUGCUGAGCUGUGAUGGGGAAGCUCCUUAUGGAGCGAAGUCUUUGAUUCCCCGCUGCCAAGAAAAGCUUCUAGCGAGAUAAAAGGUGCCUGUACCGCAAACCGACACAGGUAGGCGAGGAGAGAAUCCUAAGGUGUGCGAGAGAACUCUGGUUAAGGAACUCGGCAAAAUGACCCCGUAACUUCGGGAGAAGGGGUGCUUUCUUAACGGAAAGCCGCAGUGAAUAGGCCCAAGCGACUGUUUAGCAAAAACACAGGUCUCUGCGAAGCCGUAAGGCGAAGUAUAGGGGCUGACACCUGCCCGGUGCUGGAAGGUUAAGGAGAGGGGUUAGCGUAAGCGAAGCUCUGAACUGAAGCCCCAGUAAACGGCGGCCGUAACUAUAACGGUCCUAAGGUAGCGAAAUUCCUUGUCGGGUAAGUUCCGACCCGCACGAAAGGUGUAACGAUUUGGGCACUGUCUCAACCAGAGACUCGGUGAAAUUAUAGUACCUGUGAAGAUGCAGGUUACCCGCGACAGGACGGAAAGACCCCGUGGAGCUUUACUGUAGCCUGAUAUUGAAUUUUGGUACAGUUUGUACAGGAUAGGCGGGAGCCAUUGAAACCGGAGCGCUAGCUUCGG